rnacentral:lncRNA from 1 species
AUGAUUUUACCAAGUAAUUAGUAGACCAUAACUGCAUAUCAAAAUUCCUUUGUUAUGGAAGCGUUUUCUUAGUGCUGGAAACCGGGAUAGUAGAAGGUUACAUUUCUUGGAUGCUGACUUGGAAAUUUAGUGUCCUUAUUCUGACAGACUUGAUUGCAGUGUUGAUUGUGUAGAAAAGUAAGAACAGGUGAAGACUUACUCUGAAGAAGAGCAACCAGACUUAAAAGCUUACCACAGAUCUUUUACCUCCUCUCAAGUACAACAAGAUUAGGUAGUUUUUAUUUUUAAUAACUGUUAUACAGUCUGCAAUCAGAACAAAGUCUUGUUAGAGUGGAUCGAUGUGGAGAAAACACGUUAUUGUGUCAGGAGUUGUAAAUUGUUCUUGGAUAUGCCUCUAAAGUCAGGUUUUUUCCUUCUGAUUAACCUUGGUACGUUGAUUCUUUGCAGGCAGAAAGAAUGCUUCCAGUUUUAAUGUGAUCCAUCAUGAUUGAGUCUUAAAUACCUUAGAACGCCACCUAAAAUAACUCAUUUGAGAUUUUAUAGAAACAUUUUU